CAACAGUUUGGAUUAGUUCUAUUUGCAAAAGAGAAGGAUUGAUGUUCACAUGCUGCAAUGGUUAUGUUGGUCAACAAUUGGUGGUAUGGACUACCAAGCAUUCGUAUUUAUGCUGGUAAGAUUUGCGCGAAUGAAAUUACCAAAUCAUGUACGAUGAUUUACCACGAAUCGAGUAAUUUUGCUAUAAUGAUCAUUCAUCGCCUUUAACUUGCUUAAAAUGUUAUUUAAUACAAUAAAAAGUACACAUUGAUAUCAAGAAUUUAAUAAGGUCAUACAGCACAUUGAUAUCAAGAAUUUUAUAAGGUCAUACACAUAGGCAUCAAGAUUCAAGACAUACAGUAUAGGUUCACAAUAAAGUUUUGAGUAGGGCUGAGAUUUGUAGGUCAGACGUGCACAGUCUAACUUGAUAGAAACAGAUAAAUUUAUUGGCUUAAUCUUCCUGCACUACAACAAUGCUAUUCUAAAAUCACCAUAAUCCACCAAAUAUUACAUCAGAAGUCUAGCAACAGUGUUUCUCACACAAAAGUUAAAAAGUCAAUUAUCGAGCACCCCAAUUGAAGGGUAUCGAAUAAUCAGAAAAAUUAAAGUGGUAUCGGCCAAACUUUGGUUUUCUAAAUACAGCAACUUAAAAGUAUGUAGAUACAAAAUUAAGUUCUUUCAGCAGAAAUGUGAAAAUUUAGAUAUUUCAAGGAUAU
rnacentral:lncRNA from 1 species